GACGAACCGUGCGAACGUUGUUCGGAAUCACUGGGCUUAAAGGGCGCGUAGGCGGGCUGUCAAGUCCGGGGUGAAAUCUUUCCGGCUCAACCGGAAAAGUGCCUUGGAUACUGAUCGGUCUGGAGGGAGGUAGGGGUAUGUGGAACUUCCGGUGGAGCGGUGAAAUGCGUUGAUAUCGGAAGGAACGCCGGUGGCGAAAGCGACGUACUGGACCUCUUCUGACGCUGAGGCGCGAAAGCUAGGGGAGCGAACGGG
rnacentral:rRNA from 1 species